AGUGAACGCUGGCGGUAGGCCUAACACAUGCAAGUCGAACGGCAGCACAGUAAGAGCUUGCUCUUACGGGUGGCGAGUGGCGGACGGGUGAGGAAUACAUCGGAAUCUACUUUUUCGUGGGGGAUAACGUAGGGAAACUUACGCUAAUACCGCAUACGACCUACGGGUGAAAGCAGGGGAUCUUCGGACCUUGCGCGAUUGAAUGAGCCGAUGUCGGAUUAGCUAGUUGGCGGGGUAAAGGCCCACCAAGGCGACGAUCCGUAGCUGGUCUGAGAGGAUGAUAAGCCACACUGGAACUGAGACACGGGCAAGAAUACUACGGGAGGCAGCAGUGGGGAAUAUUGGACAAUGGGCGCAAGCAUGAUCCAGCCAUACCGCGUGGGUGAAGAAGGCCUUCGGGUUGUAAAGCCCUUUUGUUGGGAAAGAAAAGCAGCAGGUUAAUACCCUGCUGUUCUGACGGUACCCAAAGAAUAAGCACCGGCUAACUUCGUG
rnacentral:rRNA from 1 species